rnacentral:rRNA from 1 species
UACGUAGGGGGCAAGCGUUGUCCGGAAUCAUUGGGCGUAAAGCGCGUGUAGGCGGUUCGGUAAGUCUGCUGUGAAAGUCCAGGGCUCAACCCUGGGAUGCCGGUGGAUACUGUCGAACUAGAGUACGGAAGAGGAGUGUGGAAUUCCUGGUGUAGAGGUGAAAUUCGUAGAUAUCGGGAGGAACACCGGUGGCGAAGGCGGCAGCCUGGGUUGACACUGACGCUGAGGCGCGAAAGCGUGGGGAGCAAACAGG